rnacentral:rRNA from 1 species
GACGAACGCUGGCGGCGUGCCUAAUACAUGCAAGUAGAACGCUGAAGGAGGAGCUUGCUUCUCUGGAUGAGUUGCGCACGGGUGAGUAACGCGUAGGUAACCUGCCUGUUAGCGGGGGAUAACUCUUGGAAACGCUAGCUAAUACCGCAUAAUAGCAGUUAUUGCAUGAUAACUGUUUGAAAGGUGCAAUUGCACCACUACCAGAUGGACCUGCGUUGUAUUAGCUAGUUGGUGGGGUAACGGCUCACCAAGGCGACGAUACAUAGCCGACCUGAGAGGGUGAUCGGCCACACUGGGACUGAGACACGGCCCAGACUCCUACGGGAGGCAGCAGUAGGGAAUCUUCGGCAAUGGACGGGAGUCUGACCGGGCAACGCCGCGUGAGUGAAGAAGGUUUUCGGAUCGUAAAGCUCUGUUGUAAGAGAAGAACGAGUGUGAGAGUGGAAAGUUCACACUGUGACGGUAUCUUACCAGAAAGGGACGGCUAACUACGUG